CAGUCGCCGCGGUAAUACGAAGGGGGCUAGCGUUGUUCGGAUUUACUGGGCGUAAAGCGCACGUAGGCGGAUUGGUCAGUUAGGGGUGAAAUCCUGGAGCUCAACUCCAGAACUGCCUUUAAUACUGCCAGUCUCGAGUCCGGAAGAGGUAAGUGGAACUCCUAGUGUAGAGGUGGAAUUCGUAGAUAUUAGGAAGAACACCAGUGGCGAAGGCGGCUUACUGGUCCGGUACUGACGCUGAGGUGCGAAAGCGUGGGGAGCAAACAGGAUUAGAUACCCCUGUAGUCCCUGUCUCUUAUAC
rnacentral:rRNA from 1 species